UACGGGGGGGGCAAGCGUUGUUCGGAAUUACUGGGCGUAAAGGGCUCGUAGGCGGCCAACUAAGUCAGACGUGAAAUCCCUCGGCUUAACCGGGGAACUGCGUCUGAUACUGGAUGGCUUGAAUCCGGGAGAGGGAUGCGGAAUUCCAGGUGUAGCGGUGAAAUGCGUAGAUAUCAGGAGGAACACCUAUUGCGAAGGCAGCUCGCUGGGACGUUACUGACGCUGAGACGCGAAAGCGUGGGGAGCAAACAGG
rnacentral:rRNA from 1 species